rnacentral:rRNA from 1 species
UGGGGAAUAUUNNGCAAUGGGGGGAACCCUGACGCAGCCAUGCCGCGUGAAUGAAGAAGGCCUUAGGGUUGUAAAGUUCUUUCGGUAUUGAGGAAGGUUGAUGUGUUAAUAGCACAUCAAAUUGACGUUAAAUACAGAAGAAGCACCGGCUAACUCCGUGCCAGCAGCCGCGGUAAUACGGAGGGUGCGAGCGUUAAUCGGAAUAACUGGGCGUAAAGGGCACGCAGGCGGUUAUUUAAGUGAGGUGUGAAAGCCCCGGGCUUAACCUGGGAAUUGCAUUUCAGACUGGGUAACUAGAGUACUUUAGGGAGGGGUAGAAUUCCACGUGUAGCGGUGAAAUGCGUAGAGAUGUGGAGGAAUACCGAAGGCGAAGCNNGCCCCUUGGGAAUGUACUGACGCUCAUGUGCGAAAGCGUGGGGGAGCAAACAGGAUUAGAUACCCUGGUAGUCCACGCUGUAAACGCUGUCGAUUUGGGGGGUGGGGUUUAACUCUGGCGCCCGUAGCUAACGUGAUAAAUCGACCGCCUGGGGAGUACGGCCGCAAGUUA